AACGAACGCUGGCGGCAUGCCUAACAUAUGCAAGUCGAACGAGACCUUCGGGUCUAGUGGCGCACGGGUGCGUAACGCCUGGGAACCUGCCCUUAGGUUCGGAAUAACUCCCCGAAGGGGGUGCUAAUACCGGUUAAUGUCUUCGGACCAAAGAUGUAUCGCCUUUGGAUGGGCCCGCGUUGGAUUAGCUAGUUGGUAGGGUAAAAGCCUACCAAGGCGACGAUCCAUAGCUGGUCGGAGAGGAUGAUCAGCCACACUGGGACUGAGACACGGCCCAGACUCCUACGGGAGGCAGCAGUGGGGAAUAUUGGACAAUGGGCGAAAGCCUGAUCCAGCAAUGCCGCGUGAGUGAUGAAGGCCUUAGGGUUGUAAAGCUCUUUUACCCGGGAUGAUAAUGACAGUACCGGGAGAAUAAGCACCGGCUAACUCCGUG
rnacentral:rRNA from 1 species